rnacentral:lncRNA from 1 species
GUUGCUUGAUAAAGAACGUUACAAGAUUCAGAUGAUGAAUCUGACCUAGAGACUAAUGAUUUGGCUAUAGGUUUGACUUAAGCUGCAGAGCCUGUACAAUGAAAGGGAAGCAUGCAGCAGCCAGACCAAGGUGCAAAUUUGUUGUCAGAUUGUUAUGCCUUAUUUUUAUUUUAGACAUGAUAUGUUAAUAACACUAAGUCAUGUCUUUAAUUUAGAGAUUUAUAAGUAUAGAAAUUGUAUAAGAAUUAAUGAGAAGAGUCAAUUCAUCCUAGGCUGAAAGACAUGGAUUACUUCAACUAAUAAAUGAGUCUCUUAGAAUCUGUAUUGCAGUCUACAAGUUCUAUGAGUUUCUAUAAAUAUCCCCCACUAAGUAGAAGUUUAAAUUUAUAACAUUAUAGACAAUUAUGAUGAUAUAUCUCUUGAUUUAUGGCACAAUAUCUUUAAAAGUUGUCAAUAAUUGGCAACCAAUAACUACUGUAAUUUAAACUUCUGGAAGCAGUUUAAAGAACUGACAACAGGCCUUGAAGUUAGACGUGCAACGUAUGACCUGUACAAACCAUUCUUAAGAUCUGGCCGACUAAGCAGGACACUCUAAAGUUUUGUUGUACAUAGAUAGGUGAUUGUCCAGUCUCAUGUGGUGUAAAUGCUGAAUCUUUAUGAGCAACUUUCUCAAUUACUUUUGUAUAAAAUAUAUAGGUACACAGUUCGCGGACUGUUAGAUUUUUACUAGGCAAUGCUUUUCUUCUAAUGUCAUUUCAUCUAAUUACUGAUCUUUAAUUGUUUUGCGAUUGGUUUUUUGUUUGUUAUUAUAUAGCCAGAUAAUAUUGGCCUGUUUUCAGCCUCUUCAUGGAUUAAAGGGAACCAUUUGCCUAUGACAAGCAUUGAAUAGUCUGAUUAUUGUCACAAUAGAGAUCAUUUUGGACUAAGAAGAGGUUAUGAUGUAAGAAAAUUGUGCCCUCAAAAUAAAUAUGAAAUGGGUCAUCCUGCUAAGGAAACAAAUAUGAAAUUGGUAGAUAUAUGCAUAAGGAAACACUUUAUUCUGACUCCAAUGAGCACCUGGAUGAGCAUUGCGGCUGAGAGCACUUUGCUUUUAGGAAGUUUAUGUAAAGUUCUUUGCCCUGUGAGGGUAUGUUGAUAUUCAUCUAAUUUCAGUGCACUGCUGUGGUACAUUAUACUUGGCCUGAAAUUCAAUCUAACAGGGUAGGCUUCAGAUGAUUCAAAUGAAAAAACUGAGACAACGAUAGGAGUGAGAUUUGUAUAUUAGUGUCAUCGCUCCUCAAAUAUAUAUACCCUCAAAUAUAUAUAUUUUGAGAGAUUGAGUGAAGCUGCAG